UAGGGAAUCUUCCGCAAUGGGCGAAAGCCUGACGGAGCAACGCCGCGUGAGUGAUGAAGGUCUUCGGAUCGUAAAACUCUGUUAUAAGGGAAGAACAAAUGUGGAAGUAACUAUGCACGUCUUGACGGUACCUAAUCAGAAAGCCACGGCUAAUUACGUGCCAGCAGCCGCGGUAAUACGUAGGUGGCAAGCGUUAUCCGGAAUUAUUAGGCGUAAAGCGUGCGUAGGCGGUUUUUUAAGUCUGAUGUGAAAGGCCACGGCCCAACCGUGGAGGGUCAUUGGAAACUGGAAAACUUGAGUGCAGAAGAGGAAAGUGGAAUUCCAUGUGUAGCGGUGAAAUGCGCAUAGAUAUGAAGGAACAACAGAGGCGAAGGCGACUUUCUGGUCUGUACCUGACGCUGAUGUGCGAAAGCGUGGGAAUCAAACAGG
rnacentral:rRNA from 1 species